UCUCCUUUCUUUUUUGAUCCCAUUCUUCCUUGCUUUCAACCUACGCUGGCUUUCUCAGCCAUGUCUGAACCUAUUCAUCCCUUCACCUACAUGGUAAAAUGUAAAAAGUCUUAUAUUUUACUUAAAAGGAAGAUAUUGCUGACUUGAGUACAACUUUUUUGAAGCAAUAUAGAUGCUUUGCAUUCACCCUUAGGUUGUAUGAUAACAGGAAAACCAAAUGAAGCCAAAAAUCCAGAGCAUGUGUUAAAAAUCAGAUUUUAUCAUUAACAGAUAUCAUCAUAACUAAAAUCCAGACAACUAAAGGUUUCCACCAUAUGGCUAGAGCAAAGCUUAUUUUAUAUCUGCUACUGUGCAGAACCACAAAAAGCACUGAGAAUAAAGAAAUGAAAAAAACAGUUUCUAAACUCGAGAAAGUCAGAAUCCCAAGGGGUAAUCAAAUGUGCCAAUGUUAAUCUUAAUUUAAAUAGAGCUCCUCAUGAGUAACCAGUUCUGCCUGGGGAUGCAGAAGAGGUAGGGAAGAAUUUUGAAGUGGAAUUAGAAAGUGACUAUGUAUUCCUCAGGUAUAAAAAGACUGGAAGGGCAUUUCAAGUAAACAGAUUAGCCAGCAAAAAGAUAAGGAGACAGAAAAGUUCCUGCAAUAGUAGGUGUGCCAGAAGCUCUAGCACUGCAGAAGAAUUUGAAAGUAAAGGUGGAAAGUGCAUUUGGCCUGAAUGAUAAAUUAACAGUUACCUGGAUAGUUCCUUUUGCAUGUGGCUGAGUUUUACAGAUUCAAAGACCCCUACAUUUAAAUGAUAGUGUCUCAAACUAUUAAUAGCUCCUUGUUCAGCUAUAGUGGCAAUUGGCUUUGUUCAUUAAAAUGGAAUCUUUUUGUUUUCUUUGCCAAGAAAGGAGUGAUUUCACUUUUCUCUCUUUUCCCUUUCAGUUCUUUCCAUUUAUGUUUUGCAGACACAGAGACACACCCGUUAAGCCAGGUUUCAAUGAAGAAAACUAGCCAAUCCAGUUACAACAUCGUCAUUGGUGGUGUUAAUAUGGAGACAGUUGCCUUCUUGUUACUCAAUAGGAUACACAUAAUUGAGCCCUUCUGAAUCUGGAAUCACAGACGUUGAGACAUACUUUUGCAGAGCAGUUUAUGAUGACAUUUAUGAGCUAUGCCUCACAGUCAUCUCUCAAGG